UUCAUAUUUUCUCCAUCCAACAAAAGAUGUCUCAAGUGCAUUAAAAUUUGAAUGUAUCUAGACAUGACUUAGUGUAUAGAUGUAUUCAAAUUUGGUCAAAAUUGAGACAUUCUUUGUUGGACGGAGGGAGUAGUCU
rfam:Brachypodium distachyon strain Bd21 chromosome 1, whole genome shotgun sequence.